rnacentral:tRNA from 1 species
GGGACCGAGGUGUUACGGCAGCAUCCCUGGCUCUUAACCAGGCGGGUGAAGGUUCGAGUCCUUCCGAUCCCAC